rnacentral:rRNA from 1 species
GAACGAGAAAGUGGAGCAAUCCAUGAGUACAGUGGCGACCGGGUGAGUAACACGUGACUAACCUACCUUCGAGUGGGGGAUAACUCCGGGAAACCGGGGCUAAUACCGACAAUAAUGUCUUCGGGAUGAAAAGCCGGAGAUCAAAGAAGCAAUUCGCUUGAAGAGGGGGUCGCGGCUGAUUAGCUAGUUGGCGGGGUAACGGCCCACCAAGGCGAUGAUCAGUAGCCGGCCUGAGAGGGCGCACGGCCACACUGGAACUGAAACACGGUCCAGACUCCUACGGGAGGCAGCAGUGGGGAAUUUUGCACAAUGGGGGAAACCCUGAUGCAGCAACGCCGCGUGGAGGAUGAAGCCCCUUGGGGCGUAAACUCCUUUCGAUCGGGACGAUAAUGACGGUACUCGGAAGAAGAAGCACCGGCUAACUCUGUGCCAGCAGCCGCGGUAAU